ACGGAGGGUGCAAGCGUUAAUCGGAAUUACUGGGCGUAAAGCGUGCGCAGGCGGUUUGUUAAGUCUGUUGUGAAAUCCCCGAGCUCAACUUGGGAAUUGCAAUGGAUACUGGCAGGCUGGAGUACGGUAGAGGAAGGUGGAAUUCCCGGUGUAGCAGUGAAAUGCGUAGAGAUCGGGAGGAACACCAGUGGCGAAGGCGGGUCUCUGGGCAAUUCCUGACGCUGAGGCGCGAAAGCGUGGGGAGCAAACGGGA
rnacentral:rRNA from 1 species